AUUGAACGCUGGCGGCAUGCUUUACACAUGCAAGUCGAACGGUAACAGGGUGCUUGCACCGCUGACGAGUGGCGAACGAGUGAGUAAUGCGUCGGAACGUGCCGAGUAGUGGGGGAUAACGCAGCGAAAGUUGUGCUAAUACCACAUACGUACUGAGGUAGAAAGUGGGGGACCUUCGGGCCUCACGCUAUUCGAGCGGCCGACGUCUGAUUAGCUAGUAGGGGAGGUAAAGGCUCACCUAGGCGACGAUCAGUAGCGGGUCUGAGAGGAUGAUCCGCCACACUGGGACUGAGACACGGCCCAGACUCCUACGGGAGGCAGCAGUGGGGAAUUUUGGACAAUGGGCGAAAGCCUGAUCCAGCCAUGCCGCGUGUCUGAAGAAGGCCUUCGGGUUGUAAAGGACUUUUGUCGGGGAGGAAAUCCCCAGCGUUAAUACCGCUGGGGGAUGACAGUACCUGAAGAAUAAGCACCGGCUAACUACGUGCCAGCCGCCGCAGUAAUAC
rnacentral:rRNA from 1 species